GGUGGCUUAGUGGUAGAGCGCUUGCCUCGCAUGCAUGAGGCUCUGGGUUCGAUUCCUCAGCACCA
rnacentral:tRNA from 1 species